rnacentral:rRNA from 1 species
UACGGAGGGUGCAAGCGUUAAUCGGAAUUACUGGGCGUAAAGCGCGCGUAGGCGGCUUAGUCAGUUGGAUGUGAAAGCCCCGGGCUUAACCUGGGAAUUGCAUUCAAUACUGCUAGGCUAGAGUGCGAUAGAGGGGGGUAGAAUUCCUAGUGUAGCGGUGAAAUGCGUAGAUAUUAGGAGGAAUACCGGUGGCGAAGGCGGCCCCCUGGAUUGACACUGACGCUGAGGUGCGAAAGCGUGGGGAGCAAACAGG